rnacentral:rRNA from 1 species
CUACGGGAGGCUCCAGUGGGGAAUAUUGGACAAUGGGGGAAACCCUGAUCCAGCAAUGCCGCGUGUGUGAAGAAGGCCUGCGGGUUGUAAAGCACUUUCGGUUGGGAGGACUGCUUCUAGCACUAAUAUUGUUGGAAGUUGACGUUACCUUCAGAAGAAGCACCGGCGUAACUCCGUGCCAGCAGCCGCGGUAAUACGGGGGGUGCAAGCGUAAUCGGAAUUACUGGGCGUAAAGCGCGCGUAGGCGGCUAGAUCAGUCGGGUGUGAAAGCCCCGGGCUUAACCUGGGAACUGCAUCCGAUACUGUCUAGCUUGAGUACAGGAGAGGAGAGUGGAAUUCCACAUGUAGCGGUGAAAUGCGUAGAUAUGUGGAGGAACACCAAUGGCGAAGGCAGCUCUCUGGCCUGAUACUGACGCUGAGGUGCGAAAGCGUGGGGAGCAAACAGGAUUAGAUACCCUUGUAGUC